rnacentral:rRNA from 1 species
ACUUUCGAUGGUAGGAUAGAGGCCUACCAUGGUGGUAACGGGUAACGGGGAAUUAGGGUUCGAUUCCGGAGAGGGAGCCUGAGAAACGGCUACCACUUCCAAGGAAGGCGGCAGGCGCGCAAAUUACCCAAUCCCGACACGGGGAGGUAGUGACAAUAAAUAACAAUACGGGGCUCUUUCGGGUCUCGUAAUUGGAAUGAGUACAAUUUAAAUCCCUUAACGAGGAACAAUUGGAGGGCAAGUCUGGUGCCAGCAGCCGCGGUAAUUCCAGCUCCAAUAGCGUAUAUUAAAGUUGUUGCAGUUAAAAAGCUCGUAGUUGAAUUUCGGGAUUGACGUGAUGGUCGUGCCUUAAGGGGUAUGAACUGUCGCAGUUGAUUUCUCACCUUCUGGAGAAGCAUGAUGUCCUUAAUUGGGUGUCAUGUGGAACCAGGACCUUUACCUUGAAAAAAUUAGAGUGUUUAAAGCAGGCAUUUUGCUCGAAUACAUUAGCAUGGAAUAACGAAAUAGGACGUUUGAUUCUAUUUUGUUGGUUUCUAGGAUCGACGUAAUGAUUAAUAGGGAUAGUUGGGGGCAUUAGUAUUCAAUUGUCAGAGGUGAAAUUCUUGGAUUUAUUGAAGACUAACUACUGCGAAAGCAUUUGCCAAGGAUGUUUUCAUUAAUCAAGAACGAAAGUUAGGGGAUCGAAGACGAUCAGAUACCGUCGUAGUCUUAACCAUAAAUUAUGCCGACUAGGGAUCGGAUGAUGUUAAAUUAAUGACUCAUUCGGCACCUUACGGGAAACCAAAGUGUUUGGGUUC